GUGAAUCAUCAAAUUUUUGAACGCAAAUUGCGCUCUCUUGGGAUAGUAUGCCUGUUUGAGGGUCAGCCUAAAAAAAAUCGACAUAGUUGCUGUUCCGCGGUAACAUUCGUCGGGAAUUGGGUUAUCUUAAACCUUUGGGUGUAAGAGGCAUAAAAUUUUCUUUACGAUUCCAAGAACGUUUCUAAGAUAUUAUUUUCUUAUACGUGUAAGGUAUCGAUCUUUAUUAGACGUGACCAUUGCAUCUUAUCGCGUC
rnacentral:misc_RNA from 1 species